rnacentral:rRNA from 1 species
AACGCUAGCUACAGGCUUAACACAUGCAAGUCGAGGGGAAACGACAUCGAAAGCUUGCUUUUGAUGGGCGUCGACCGGCGCACGGGUGAGUAACGCGUAUCCAACCUGCCCACCACUUGGGGAUAACCUUGCGAAAGUAAGACUAAUACCCAAUGAUAUCUCUAGAAGACAUCUGAAAGAGAUUAAAGAUUUAUCGGUGAUGGAUGGGGAUGCGUCUGAUUAGCUUGUUGGCGGGGUAACGGCCCACCAAGGCGACGAUCAGUAGGGGUUCUGAGAGGAAGGUCCCCCACAUUGGAACUGAGACACGGUCCAAACUCCUACGGGAGGCAGCAGUGAGGAAUAUUGGUCAAUGGGCGAGAGCCUGAACCAGCCAAGUAGCGUGCAGGAUGACGGCCCUAUGGGUUGUAAACUGCUUUUAUACAGGAAUAAAGUUAGCCACGUGUGGCUAUUUGUAGGUACUGUAUGAAUAAGGACCGGCUAAUUCCGUGCCAGCAGCCGCGGUAAUACGGAAGGUCCAGGCGUUAUCCGGAUUUAUUGGGUUUAAAGGGAGCGUAGGCCGGAGAUUAAGCGUGUUGUGAAAUGUAGAUGCUCAACAUCUGAACUGCAGCGCGAACUGGUUUCCUUGAGUACGCAUAAAGUGGGCGGAAUUCGUGGUGUAGCGGUGAAAUGCUUAGAUAUCACGAAGAACUCCGAUUG